CAGUGGAGCCCAUUGGUUGGUUGGAUAGUCAGAGCAGACUAUUACUGACGCCUAUUAAGGCUGACUGAAAGAAUUCUAGCCAAAUCUUACAGAGAGAUGGUGCCUGGAGCAUACACACAGAGAGACACUGGGAAAAUACCCUUGUGCUGGAGCGACAGGGUGAAAACAUCUGUGUUCCUGAGCUGCUUAAGAAGAUGAAGUUUGCUUCUAAGCCGAACAGCAUGCCUUUCUCCCCGCCUACCUGCCUCAAAACCUGUCAAGCUACUUUUUUCCCCUUUUGCUUCUAAAAUGCUGCUUCCUAGAAGAUGCCUGCUGGGUUGCUUGAGCUGGAGAUUCCGACCUUGGCUUGUUUUAACCUGGACUUCCAACAGUUUCUCCUUUCCCAAUACCCUCAAGCUUUGCCCCAGGUACCCAUGUCUUAGUGCCAAAAGUCAUUUCUUUUUU
rnacentral:lncRNA from 1 species